UGGCGGCGUGCCUAAUACAUGCAAGUCGAACGGUCUUUCUAUGGAAGCUUGCUUCCACUGAGAAGAUAGUGGCGAACGGGUGAGUAACACGUGGGUAACCUGCCCAUAAGAGGGGGAUAACAUCCGGAAACGGUGCUAAUACCGCAUAGUUUUCUUGAUCGCAUGAUUGAGAAAGGAAAGACGGCCUUUGUGCUGUCGCUUAUGGAUGGACCCGCGGCGUAUUAGUUAGUUGGUGAGGUAACGGCUCACCAAGACGAUGAUACGUAGCCGACCUGAGAGGGUGAUCGGCCACAUUGGGACUGAGACACGGCCCAAACUCCUACGGGAGGCAGCAGUAGGGAAUCUUCCGCAAUGGACGAAAGUCUGACGGAGCAACGCCGCGUGAGUGAAAGAAGGUUUUCGGAUCGUAAAACUCUGUUGUCAGAGAAGAACAAGUUGGAGAGUAACUGCUCCAGCCUUGACGGUAUCUGACCAGAAAGCCACGGCUAACUACGUGCCAGCCGCCGC
rnacentral:rRNA from 1 species